CCUACGGGUGGCAGCAGUGGGGAAUAUUGGACAAUGGGGGGAACUCUGAUCCAGCGACGCCGCGUGAGUGAAGAAGUAUUUCGGUAUGUAAAGCUCUAUCAGCAGGGAAGUAAGAAGUGACGGUACCUGACUAAGAAGCCCCGGCUAACUACGUGCCAGCAGCCGCGGUAAUACGUAGGGGGCAAGCGUUAUCCGGAUUUACUGGGUGUAAAGGGAGCGUAGACGGUUACGCAAGUCUGGAGUGAAAGGCGGGGGCCCAACCCCCGGACUGCUUUCGAAACUGUAUAACUUGAGUGCAGGAGAGGCAAGUGGAAUUCCUAGUGUAGCGGUGAAAUGCGUAGAUAUUAGGAGGAACACCAGUGGCGAAGGCGGCUUACUGGACUGUAACUGACGUUGAGGCUCGAAAGCGUGGGGAGCAAACAGGAUUAGAUACCCCUGUAGUC
rnacentral:rRNA from 1 species